rnacentral:lncRNA from 1 species
UGCCCCUUAAUUGCUAAUUUUAAGGAAAUUUUGCUGUUUUUGGUUAUUAUCUUGAAUACUAUUAUAGAUAGAGAUAACCUGUAAAAAGCAAUAAUGUUCAGCAAAGUAAGAUUUACAAAUAAGUCAACAUGACUGAAAUGGUCAAUUGACCCCCUAAGGAGUUAAUGUCCUUUAUAGUCAAUUUUUAACAAUUUUCAUUGGGCCAAGUUCAUUAUAGAUAGAGAUAAUUCUAAGCAGC